rnacentral:rRNA from 1 species
UACGUAGGGGGCAAGCGUUGUCCGGAUUUAUUGGGCGUAAAGAGCGUGUAGGCGGCCAGGUAGGUCUGCUGUGAAAACUCGAGGCUUAACCUCGAGCUGUCGGCGGAAACCAUCUGGCUAGAGUCCGGAAGAGGAGAAUGGAAUUCCCGGUGUAGCGGUGAAAUGCGCAGAUAUCGGGAAGAACACCCGUGGCGAAGGCGGUCUCUGGACGGUACGCGCUGAGACGCGAAAGCGUGGGAGCGAACAG